rnacentral:snoRNA from 1 species
GAGCCUUGAAGCAUAAGAAGAGCCUUGAAGCAUUCUCAAGCAUGAUAGAGGUUUUCAUCAGGCUUCUGUUUGAAGCUCACAAUCUCACUGCAAAGUCU